GGGGCUGAAGGGUUUCGACGCCGAGGACGGAAGCCGACCUGUGCGACCAGAGUGGCCCAGACUCUUUAAACGGGGCAAACAAAAACAUGGCAACCAAACUGCCCGUGUUGCUCUCGCUGCCUAGUUUCUAGACAGAUGAACAACACACAUCGCGUCCCCUAAGGGGAUGGCGGGGCCUGUUCGCUGCAGCCUGGCAACAGAAGCAGGGAAGGACAGCUGGGAAAGACCGCUGACGGCGAGAAAGAACGCUGACCCCAGGGAAAGACCGGUGGCAGACACUUCGGUGUCAGGGGACUCAGCCCUGAAGUAGCCAUAACGCUUCAAACCGGGAAUGGUCGUAUCGCAGCCGGUGACCCCUUGACGGACGGGGGUUCGAUUCCCCCCAGCUCCACUC
rnacentral:tmRNA from 2 species